rnacentral:tRNA from 1 species
GGGGCUAUAGCGCAGCUGGGAGAGCGCCUGCAGGGCAUGCAGGAGGUCAGCGGUUCGAUCCCGCUUAGCGCCGCCA